UACGUAGGGUGCGAGCGUUAAUCGGAAUUACUGGGCGUAAAGUGUGCGCAGGCGGCUGAGCAAGUCGAGUGUGAAAGCCCCGGGCUUAACUUGGGAAUUGCGCUCGAAACUACUUGGCUGGAGUGUGGCAGAGGAAGGUGGAAUUCCACGUGUAGCGGUGAAAUGCGUAGAGAUGUGGAGGAACACCGAUGGCGAAGGCAGCCCCCUGGGUCAAGACUGACGCUCAUGCACGAAAGCGUGGGGAGCAAACAGG
rnacentral:rRNA from 1 species